rnacentral:snoRNA from 1 species
UAGCAUGCUGCAGUAAGAAAGGAGUUGCUGCGGCAGCCAACCUACAGUAGAGGCUUAGUAGCAGUGUGUUUCUCCUCCAGGA